rnacentral:rRNA from 1 species
UACGGAGGGGGCUAGCGUUGUUCGGAAUUACUGGGCGUAAAGCGCGCGUAGGCGGCUUUGUAAGUUAGAGGUGAAAGCCCGGAGCUCAACUCCGGAACUGCCUUUAAGACUGCAUCGCUAGAAUUGUGGAGAGGUAAGUGGAAUUCCGAGUGUAGAGGUGAAAUUCGUAGAUAUUCGGAAGAACACCAGUGGCGAAGGCGACUUACUGGACACAUAUUGACGCUGAGGUGCGAAAGCCAGGGGAGCGAACGGG